rnacentral:rRNA from 1 species
UACGAAGGAUGCAAGCGUUAUCCGGAUUUAUUGGGUUUAAAGGGUGCGUAGGCGGACUUAUAAGUCAGUGGUGAAAUCUCGUUGCUUAACAACGAAUGUGCCAUUGAUACUGUAGGUCUUGAGUGCAGAUGCCGUUGGCGGAAUGUGUCAUGUAGCGGUGAAAUGCAUAGAUAUGACACAGAACACCGAUUGCGAAGGCAGCUGACGAAACUGUAACUGACGCUGAGGCACGAAAGCGUGGGGAUCAAACAGG